UACGUAGGGUGCGAGCGUUGUCCGGAAUUACUGGGCGUAAAGAGCUCGUAGGUGGUUUGUCACGUUGUUCGUGAAAACCGGGGGCUUAACCCUCGGCGUGCGGGCGAUACGGGCAGACUGGAGUACUGCAGGGGAGACUGGAAUUCCUGGUGUAGCGGUGGAAUGCGCAGAUAUCAGGAGGAACACCGGUGGCGAAGGCGGGUCUCUGGGCCGAUACUGACACUGAGGAGCGAAAGCGUGGGGAGCGAACAGG
rnacentral:rRNA from 1 species